rnacentral:rRNA from 1 species
AAUCUUUGAACGCACCUUGCGCUCCCUGGUAUUCCGGGGAGCAUGCCUGUUUGAGUGUCAUUUCAUUCUCAACCUCGAAUCGUUUGUUUACAGACUUUACGAGGCUUGGACUUUGGAGUGUGCCGGUCUCUAACGAGAUCGACUCCUCUUUAAAUGCAUUAGCUGGAACCUCUUGUGGACCAGACUACGGUGUGAUAAUUAUCUACGCUGUUGGUCUUGUGAAGCACUUUAUUGUUACGAGGUUCUGCUUCUAAUCGUCCUUUACUGCGACAAUGAGGGUGUUCUCUUUUGAAUGCCUUUGACAUUUUGACCUCAAAUCAGGUAGGACUACCCGCUGAACUUAAGCAUAUCAAUAAAGCG